rnacentral:tRNA from 1 species
GGUAUAAUGGCUGAGUUUAGGCAGUAAACUGUAAAUUUACUAACGAAAUUAUUAUUUCUUUUACCA